rnacentral:rRNA from 1 species
UACGUAGGGUCCAAGCGUUAAUCGGAAUUACUGGGCGUAAAGCGUGCGCAGGCGGUUCGUUAAGUCAGCUGUGAAAUCCCCGGGCUUAACCUGGGAAUGGCAUUCGGGACUGCAAGGCUGGAGUGCGGCAGAGGAGACUGGAAUUCCUGGUGUAGCAGUGAAAUGCGUAGAUAUCAGGAGGAACACCGAUGGCGAAGGCAGGUCUCUGGGCUGACACUGACGCUCAUGCACGAAAGCGUGGGGAGCAAACAGG